GAUGAACGCUGGCGGCGUGCCUAAUACAUGCAAGUCGAGCGAACGGACGAGAAGCUUGCUUCUCUGAUGUUAGCGGCGGACGGGUGAGUAACACGUGGAUAACCUACCUAUAAGACUGGGAUAACUUCGGGAAACCGGAGCUAAUACCGGAUAAUAUUUUGAACCGCAUGGUUCAAAAGUGAAAGACGGUCUUGCUGUCACUUAUAGAUGGAUCCGCGCUGCAUUAGCUAGUUGGUAAGGUAACGGCUUACCAAGGCAACGAUGCAUAGCCGACCUGAGAGGGUGAUCGGCCACACUGGAACUGAGACACGGUCCAGACUCCUACGGGAGGCAGCAGUAGGGAAUCUUCCGCAAUGGGCGAAAGCCUGACGGAGCAACGCCGCGUGAGUGAUGAAGGUCUUCGGAUCGUAAAACUCUGUUAUUAGGGAAGAACAUAUGUGUAAGUAACUGUGCACAUCUUGACGGUACCUAAUCAGAAAGCCACGGCUAACUACGUGCCAGCAGCCGCGGCAAUACGUAGGUGGCAAGCGUUAUCCGGAAUUAUUGGGCGUAAAGCGCGCGUAGGCGGUUUUUUAAGUCUGAUGUGAAAGCCCACGGCUCAACCGUGGAGGGUCAUUGGAAACUGGAAAACUUGAGUGCAGAAGAGGAAAGUGGAAUUCCAUGUGUAGCGGUGAAAUGCGCAGAGAUAUGGAGGAACACCAGUGGCGAAGGCGACUUUCUGGUCUGUAACUGACGCUGAUGUGCGAAAGCGUGGGGAUCAAACAGGAUUAGAUACCCUGGUAGUCCACGCCGUAAACGAUGAGUGCUAAGUGUUAGGGGGUUUCCGCCCCUUAGUGCUGCAGCUAACGCAUUAAGCACUCCGCCUGGGGAGUACGACCGCAAGGUUGAAACUCAAAGGAAUUGACGGGGACCCGCACAAGCGGUGGAGCAUGUGGUUUAAUUCGAAGCAACGCGAAGAACCUUACCAAAUCUUGACAUCCUUUGACAACUCUAGAGAUAGAGCCUUCCCCUUCGGGGGACAAAGUGACAGGUGGUGCAUGGUUGUCGUCAGCUCGUGUCGUGAGAUGUUGGGUUAAGUCCCGCAACGAGCGCAACCCUUAAGCUUAGUUGCCAUCAUUAAGUUGGGCACUCUAAGUUGACUGCCGGUGACAAACCGGAGGAAGGUGGGGAUGACGUCAAAUCAUCAUGCCCCUUAUGAUUUGGGCUACACACGUGCUACAAUGGACAAUACAAAGGGCAGCGAAACCGCGAGGUCAAGCAAAUCCCAUAAAGUUGUUCUCAGUUCGGAUUGUAGUCUGCAACUCGACUACAUGAAGCUGGAAUCGCUAGUAAUCGUAGAUCAGCAUGCUACGGUGAAUACGUUCCCGGGUCU
rnacentral:rRNA from 1 species